GGACCACAUGCCACAGGCCACUGGUGUCCUAUUUCCCCCAACAACAAGGUUAUUCAAGCCCUUGCCCGACAUUAUAAGCAACUCAAUCUCAGAAAGAAAAAUAGCUGAAGUGGAUACUUCACCAAAGAGAAGUUCAUUUGGCUUAUGAUUCUUGAGUCUUGUGGGCCCCAAAACAAGGCUGUAAUACACCAUGGAAAAGGAGCAGCAGAGGAACUUACUGGGUGUACAAGGGACCCAGCAUGUGAGUAGCCUUGUCUUAUAACAAACACUCGCCUAAGAACCAGCUCCCUUCAUGACACCAGCAUCACUUCCAAGGAAAGCACCCCCAGCGACCUAAUAACCUCCCACUAGGCUCCACUUCUCAAAGG
rnacentral:lncRNA from 1 species